GUUUAACUCUAUGUCCCAAUGUGAUCAUAUGUGUUAUUAAAUGGACAUUAGAAAAAUAAAAUUGAACUCUUUGCUGUUUGUUCCCUCCUCUCCUCUCCUCUCCUCUCCUCUCCUCUCCCAUUUUUAAUUUCCCUCCCAAAUUUUCAAUCUCAAGCCUUUCCCCUCUCCUUUAAAUUUCACUUCCCUCCUUACCCAAUCUUCUUUCUUUUCAUUUCCACCCUUUUCCUUCUCCUUCUCCAAGCUCUACUUCUCCUACUCUCCUACUCUCCUACUCUCCCUUCCCUUCUUCAUCCCCACCCCAUCUCUCUUCUUUCUUGAAUGAGUUUCUUUGUCGCCAUUCAUUCAUUCAUUCAUUCACGUUUCUUUAGAUCUGACCGUUAAGCCGCCACGUCAGUAAGACAGUUACAAGUUUUCGUGGUUUUGGUGCAGAUUCGGCUGGCUGCCGGUCUUGGUAAGACGGUAGCAGUCUUCUGUGUCUUUUUGUUUGCGUUGUCCUUGUGGGUUUUCGUUGGGUUUCUGUUUGGGAUGAAUUGAAGUUUUUGGAAGAAAUUGAGGUGCUGGGGAUCGAUUUUGAUGAAAAUUGGUUGUGGAAUCCAAGUUUGUAGUUGAAGCCAAGAUCAUUCAAAGUCAUUGAUUUUCAAGCUUCUUUAACUAAGUUUGUCUCUUCUACUAGAAUUGUAGUCUUGUGAUUUUUUGAAUAACAUAGUUAGAUUGGUCUUGUAAGUUUGGAACUAUCAUAUUAAUUGAUUCGAGAUUGAUAGAGAUAUUAUUGUAAAUUUUGAAAUUGUUCAUGCAUAUACAACAAGUAAUUGAAGAAUGCAGUUGGUAGUUGUGUGUAUUGGAUUUAUAUAUUGA